AAAGAAGGUCGGGCAGUCGCUCCGGGGCAUGCGUGCUCCGGAGAGGAAAGUCCGGGCACCACAGGACAGGAUACCGUGCGUCAAGCACGGGUCCCGCGGCGCUCGCUCGCGGCGGGAACGGAAAGUGCCACAGAGAACAUACCGCCCUGUCCCGCGCUUCGCGGGACGGAGUGAGAGGUGAAAAGGCGGGGUAAGAGCCCACCGCGUCCCGUGGCGACACGAGACGGCUGGUAAACCCUAUCCGGUGCAAGACCAAGCAGAGGAACGGGCGGUCCGUCCACAUGUCCUCGGGUAGGUCGCGUAGAUAAAUGGCUGCCUCCCCCGCAGCGCGGGGCAGACAGAACCCGGCUUACAGACCUUCUUUCCCG
rnacentral:RNase_P_RNA from 1 species